rnacentral:lncRNA from 1 species
CUCACUUCCGCUCUCUACCUGAAAAGGGAAGGGGGGGGGGAACUUUCUAGAUCACAGGUUGACCCAAGAGUUAUCUACAUCUUUGGGUACAAAUAAGGAAACUCGGAGCCAAGCAGCUACCUAACUGGCCGUUGGUCACGUGACGGAACAGCGGCGUUAGAAUUUAGACCAGGCACUGCUCAGGGCACACCCAUCUGAAGCCGUGUUGCUCUCCUCCUGCCUGCCUGAUUCUGCGCACAGGCUCUAGGCCAUCAGACUCUAAGUUUUACUGAUGACGAGAAAAGCAAUAUGACAGGGCUGCAUUAGCUAAAUGGAACCGUCCUCCCCUCCUUCCCUCCCAUCUCCCCUUCUGCUGCUGCCCAAGAAUCAGACAUAGCCGGAUUGGACUGGAUUAGAAGCACAGACUAUGGUCUUCUCAUCAACCCAAACUAGCUCAAUUGUGAAUCAGCUCGAUUGUGAAUCAGCCGCCUCUGUUAAGGACAACGGGCUCACUGGUCACGUCCAGAACAUCACUGUCUUUGUAGUGGCCAUUUAAUAGAUUAAAACAUUGUUUUAAUUAGUCUCUAUCAAUGACAUUAGAAGUUUACAAAAUAAGGCAAACAAUAAAAAUACCUCUCCUUGUUCCUUGGGAAUG